rnacentral:rRNA from 1 species
UACGAAGGGGGCUAGCGUUGCUCGGAAUGACUGGGCGUAAAGGGCGCGUAGGCGGAUAGUACAGUCAGAUGUGAAAUUCCUGGGCUCAACCUGGGGGCUGCAUUUGAUACGUGCUGUCUUGAGUUCGGAAGAGGGUCGUGGAAUUCCCAGUGUAGAGGUGAAAUUCGUAGAUAUUGGGAAGAACACCGGUGGCGAAGGCGGCGACCUGGUCCGAUACUGACGCUGAGGCGCGAAAGCGUGGGGAGCAAACAGG